UACGAAGGGGGCUAGCGUUGCUCGGAAUUACUGGGCGUAAAGGGUGCGUAGGCGACUUUCUAAGUUGGAUGUGAAAACUAUGGGCUCAACCCAUAGCCUGCAUCCAAAACUGGAGAGCUUGGGUUCUGGAGGGGAAAGCGGAAUUCCUGGUGUAGCGGUGAAAUGCGUAGAUAUCAGGAGGAACACCGGUGGCGAAGGCGGCUUUCUGGACAGAUACCGACGCUGAGGCACGAAAGCUAGGGGAGCAAACAGG
rnacentral:rRNA from 1 species